GAUGAAGAACGUAGUGAAAUGCGAUAAGUAAUGUGAAUUGCAGAAUUCAGUGAAUCAUCGAAUCUUUGAACGCAUCUUGCGCUCCUUGGUAUUCUGAGGAGCAUGCCUGUUUGAGUGUCAUUAAAUUCUCAACUACACUGACUUUGAAUUGGUGUGGCUUGGAUUUGGGGGGAAAAUUGUUGUGGGCUUUUUGUAUAGUCUGCUCCCCUGAAAUUGAUUAGCGGUACCUUUGUGGAACUGUCUACAGGUGUGAUAAUUAUCUACAUCUUAGACAUCUGCUGGAAUGCUGCUUUCUAAACCUUACUUGUAUUGACAAUCUUGACCUCAAAUCAGGUAGGACUACCCGCUGAACUUAAGCAUAUCAAUAAGCGG
rnacentral:misc_RNA from 1 species